AGGUAUCAGAAGUGCGAAUGCUGACAUGAGUAACGACAAUGCGGGUGAAAAACCCGCACGCCGGAAGACCAAGGGUUCCUGCGCAACGCUAAUCGGCGCAGGGUGAGUCGGCCCCUAAGGUGAGGCUGAAAGGCGUAACUGAUGGGAAACGGGUUAAUAUUCCCGUACUUCUUGUAACUGCGAUGGAGAGACGGAGAAGGCUAGGCCUACCGGGCGUUGGUUGUCCCGGGGAAAGACCGUAGGCUGGGAUCUUAGGCAAAUCCGGGAUCCUAAGGCUGAGAGUCGAGACCACCGGCCCUUUGCGGCUGGGAAGUGGUUGAUGCCCUGCUUCCAGGAAAAUCUUCUAAGCUUCAGGCUAUUCGAGACCGUACCCCAAACCGACACAGGUGGUCAGGUAGAGAAUACCAAGGAGAUCGAGA
rnacentral:rRNA from 1 species